rnacentral:rRNA from 1 species
CCUACGGGCGGCAGCAGUGAGGAAUAUUGCACAAUGGGGGAAACCCUGAUGCAGCGACGCCGCGUGAGUGAAGAAGUAUUUCGGUAUGUAAAGCUCUAUCAGCAGGGAAGAAAUAGCGACCUUUGGGUCGCCAGACGGUACCUGACUAAGAAGCCCCGGCUAACUACGUGUCAGCAGCCGCGGUAAUACGGAGGAUGCGAGCGUUAUCCGGAUUUAUUGGGUUUAAAGGGUGCGCAGGCGGCCUGUUAAGUCAGCGGUAAAAGCCCGGGGCUCAACCCCGGCGAGCCGUUGAAACUGGCGGGCUGGAGUUGGAGAGAAGUACGCGGAAUGCGCGGUGUAGCGGUGAAAUGCUUAGAUAUCGCGCAGAACCCCGAUUGCGAAGGCAGUUCACUGGACUGCAACUGACACUGAGGCUCGAAAGUGUGGGUAUCAAACAGGAUUAGAUACCCGAGUAGUC